GACGAACGCUGGCGGCGUGCUUAACACAUGCAAGUCGAACGGAAAGGCCCUGCUUUUGUGGGGUGCUCGAGUGGCGAACGGGUGAGUAACACGUGAGUAACCUGCCCUUGACUUUGGGAUAACUUCAGGAAACUGGGGCUAAUACCGGAUAGGAGCUCCUGCUGCAUGGUGGGGGUUGGAAAGUUUCGGCGGUUGGGGAUGGACUCGCGGCUUAUCAGCUUGUUGGUGGGGUAGUGGCUUACCAAGGCUUUGACGGGUAGCCGGCCUGAGAGGGUGACCGGCCACAUUGGGACUGAGAUACGGCCCAGACUCCUACGGGAGGCAGCAGUGGGGAAUAUUGCACAAUGGGCGGAAGCCUGAUGCAGCAACGCCGCGUGCGGGAUGACGACCUUCGGGUUGUAAACCGCUUUCGCCUGCGACGAAGCGUGAGUGACGGUAAUGGGUAAAGAAGCACCGGCUAACUACGUG
rnacentral:rRNA from 1 species